GCAGUCGUGUCCGAGUGGUUAAGGAGAUUGACUAGAAAUCAAUUGGGCUCUGCCCGCGUAGGUUCGAAUCCUGCCGACUGCG
rfam:Steinernema glaseri strain NC unplaced genomic scaffold GLAS_5192, whole genome shotgun sequence.